CAGUCGCCGCGGUAAAACGUAGGGUGCAAGCGUUAAUCGGAAUUACUGGGCGUAAAGCGUGCGCAGGCGGUUCUAUAAGACAGAUGUGAAAUCCCCGGGCUCAACCUGGGAACUGCAUUUGUGACUGUAGAGCUGGAGUACGGCAGAGGGGGAUGGAAUUCCGCGUGUAGCAGUGAAAUGCAUAGAUAUGCGGAGGAACACCGAUGGCGAAGGCAAUCCCCUGAGCCUGUACUGACGCUCAUGCACGAAAGCGUGGGGAGCAAACAGGAUUAGAUACCCGCGUAGUCCCUGUCUCUUAUAC
rnacentral:rRNA from 1 species